rnacentral:rRNA from 1 species
AGUGCGGCGCACAGCUCAGUAGCACGUGGCUAACCUGCCCUUGGGAUAAGGACAACCCCGGGAAACUGGGGCUAAUCCCCAAUAGGCGAAGGCUCCUGGAAUGGACCUUCACCAAAAGGAUGCUUACGCUAUGCUCGUAGGCUUCGCCCAAGGAUGGGGCCGCGACCGAUCAGGUUGUUGGUGAGGCAACGGCUCACCAAGCCGUUGACCGGUGCGGGCCGUGGGAGCGGGAGCCCGGAGAUGGGCACUGAGACAAGGGCCCAGGCCCUACGGGGCGCAGCAGUCGCGCAAACUUUGCAAUACACGAAAGUGUGACAGGGCUAUCCCGAGUGCCGUCCGCUGAGGAUGGCUUUUACCCAGUCUAGAACGCUGGGGGAAUAAGGAGAGGGCAAGUCUGGUGUCAGCCGCCGCGGUAAUACCAGCUCUCCGAGUGGUGUGGAUGUUUAUUGAGCCUAAAGCAUCCGUAGCUGGCCAAGUUAGUCCCUUGUUAAACCCACCGAAUUAAUCGUUGGCGUGCGGGAGAUACUGCUCGGCUAGGGGACGAGAGAGGCAGACGGUAUUCUCGGGGUAGGGGUGAAAUCCUAUAAUCCCGAGAAGACCACCAGUGGCGAAGGCUGUCUGCUAGAACGCGCCCGACGGUGAGGGAUGAAAGCUGGGGGAGCGAACCGGAUUAGAUACCCGGGUAGUCCCAGCUGUAAACGAUGCAGGCUAGGUGUUUGGACGGCCACGUGCCGUUCUAGUGCCGCAGGGAAGCUGUUAA